UUGUUCUCCAUCUCAUUUGCUGCCAAUAUAUGAGAGUAGCCUAGGCACUCGAGAAGCCCACAAAGAAAACAAAAAUGAGGAGUCUCAGCCGAGUAAUGUCACUGAAGUGUGUGAAGAUGACUAACUGCUUAGAGGUCUAACUACAUGCUCAGGGGCUGAAGUACACAUUGCUUGUGUCUACCUAUAACCAAGGCCUACUGAUUUGGGUGAAGUGUUUCACAGCUGUUUCAAAUCUCCAUUUGUAAAUGCUUUGAGAUGAAAGCAAAACAGUCCCG